AGAGAUUUGAUUAGUUAAAGAAUCAGAUAAUAGAACUGAAAGGGGCCCAAGAAGUCCCCUAGUACAGCCUCCUUCUCAAUGAAGAGUUCAUUUUAUAUCAUCCUUGACCGUGGCUAUUUUUGCUGAAACUCCUUUAUUAAGAGGAAGUUACUGUUGCUGGGCAACUCUGAAGACAGUCUAGUCUGGUUCUGCUGAGGACCAUGGAUUUGGGUUCAGAUCUUAGGUCUGUCACAUACUAUUUUCUUAACCUUUCUGAGCCUCAGUGUUUUGGUGUGUAAAUAAAUGUAGAUAUACCCUCACUGACUUGUUAUAACAGUUAUAUGACAUAACACAGUGAAACUCAGUGCAC